GAUGAGCAACUCUGCUGCCCAGACUGAGCUCUGUGUUCUGAAAGUGAUAGAUUCUUAGAUCUUUACCUGAGGAAUUGGUUGGUGCCAUCAAGGAGUUCUGCUUUUUGUCAUGAGUAACAGCAAAUCUGAAAUUCACAAGAAAUAGCAAGGAGGCACUUCAGGCCUUGAAACUUCUCCAUUUGGGAUCUUGCUGGAUACCAGUGCCAUGUUUUCUCCCUUUUUGUGAAAGAUGCACUGCUCACAAAUGCUGUUUUCAUGCAAAUACAAGCCACCUCUUGAGAAAGAACUUCCUAAACUGAUUCGGUUGAGUUCUGAUAUACAGAGUCUUGCUUGUUCCAAAUUGAGGACAUAACACGGACAAAGAUGAAAUGUCAAAUUGGAAGGUUAUUUGCUGUUAUUUCCAAAAGUGAGGUGAGGGAACAUGAACUUAUUUUGUUUGGUAAGAAAGAAUAUUACAUUUCUUUUUAGUGAGGCAUAUAGCUGUUUACUGAGAAGGGACAGCAAGUGUUGCAUCUUUGGCACCUUUAUCCCUGCUGCCACCUUAAAACACUGAGCACUGUGCUAAUGUAGCUUGAAGUUUCCUCCUUUUCCUUGCCUACUACGGAAGAAAUGGAAUGUUUUUGUAAAGACAGUGGUAACACCACCUGGAAAGAAGCAGGAGAAGUUUAUGACCCCUUAGUCUCAUCUACCUCUGCUUGUAUCAUUUCAGUUGAAAACAAGGUCUCUUGUGGAUCACCUUUUUUUCCCCACAAGCUUUGUGUGAAAACCUUUUUCUCUGGAAAAAGGCAUAGAAUAACCAAACCUUCAGAGAGAAUUCCACUGAUUUUGGAGAUUGUGUAAAUAAUGGGAGGUGACAUCAAACAGUGUUCCCAUGCAUCUAUAAACGGGCAUACCUAGCACAGAAUGGAAAUGUGCAAACUGAUUUUUACCUCGUUCUGAGAAGUGUUCUUAUGUUUCAUCCAUUUUAAUUAAUUGUAUAACAUAGGUGAAGGUAAUUAAUUUAAAAUGCUGCUUGAAGUAAAAUUAAAUGUCCUUAGUUUCACGUAACCUUUAUUUUCGUUUCCACAUAGCUAAGUGGUAAAAGUGGGUGGGUUUGGAGAACUGGAUGCCAUGGUAUUGAUUUCCUUUCUAGAGCUAAGCCUGUCCAGAGAAGCUGAGAACUGAACAGUUGUGCUCUGUGUAAGGUCUGUCUCUGGGAAAAUUAAGGGCAAGGCUUUUCUUUUGCCUGUGAGGUUUAAAUGGGGUAUACUGUACAGUGAGCAAUCUUGCUGAAACCAUGUUUAAUUAUGUAUUUUGGUGAUGGUCAUGGAUUAUGUUCUGGCUGUCAGUUUUUCUCCUGUGCCUGUAUUCUGCAUUCUUAUUUGAGAUCCAUUAUAUUAGUUAGGAAAGAGAGAAAUGCUUAAUUAAAUGCUGCCACAUAGGUGUUGUGGUUAGAGGCAAGACAGGUGAAUCCAAGUGAUAAGUGAAGAAAUGUUCCUUGCUACUCUGGGGGUAUUUUUUAAGCUGAAUAUGUAAUGACAUUUCUUCCAACUGCCUGUGCUUGCCUCUCUGGAGCGAAGGAGAGCGAAUGUGUGCGUGCCACUUAAUCACCACGGGCCGCUCCACAGAAUGGUAGCAGUUGGAAGUGACCUCUGAAGAUCAAGUCCAACACCCCUGCCAUUUGUCUUGCCACCGGGGUCCCCUGGCUGCAGGUUCUUCUCUUUUGUAGAAUUCCCAGAAUCACGGAAACAUUCAGGUUCAAGCACACCCUCGGCAUCAUCCAGCCCAUCUGCUCCCUCACUCUACAACCUUCAGCCCUAAACAGUGUCCUCAGGUGCCACAUCCAAACGACCUUUAAACACAUCCACUACCUCCCUGAGCACCCUCUUCUCAUGCCUCACCCCUCUUUCCAUGAAAAAAUGUUUCCUCU